rfam:Salmo salar isolate Sally breed double haploid chromosome ssa27, whole genome shotgun sequence.
AUCCCUGUAGCUCAGUUGGUAGAGCAUGGUGUUUGCAACGCCAGGGUUGUGGGUUCGAUUGUGGGUUCGAUUCCCACGGGGGGCC